rnacentral:lncRNA from 1 species
AAAAAAGUGGUAGUUUAAAAAGUAGUGACAAAAAUGAACCUUCUCCCGGAGAGGCAAUCCCACCACAGAAAACCAGUCCGAACGUGGAAGUCACUGUUGAUGGGCCAGUUGACCCACAGGCAGAUAAUCUCAGGAGUUCUGGUGUGGUUCAGGUCCCAGCAGUGCACAGUCUUCCUAUUCAGGCAUUAACAGGCUUAAUUAGACCCCAGUACAGCGAUCCAAGGCAGUCAAGACAGCCAGGACAGAUGAGUCCCACCCCAGAAAAUGAUCCCGGUAAAGAACCAGAUGACAAAUCUCUGAAAGAGGUUUUUAAAACUUUUGAUCCAACUGCUUCACCAUUUUGUUAGCUAUUGUGUAAUUAAGCAGUUCUUUUCACUCUUGUGACUAUUGCAGUCCUCUGCUGUUUUGUAACUGGUUUACCUCUAUAGUUUAUUUAUUUUUAAAUUAUAAAUACUUUUCAGCUGCUAGUAUCAGAACCACAUGAAGUUAUAUCCUCUAAAGCCUGUGGUAUUUUAUAUAAUAUUUUUAUAACUUUAAGAGACUGUAGUAAUUGACAUAGAAACUUAUCUAUCAUGUUAGCUUCGGUAGAAGUACUUUUCUCGUAAAUAAACCAUCAUGAACUCAACACUCUGCCCAAAUAUAUGCCAGUUGUCUUUCAUAAUCAAUGUUUAGAUAAAUGAUUACCACUUUUAUAUGGUUGUUAGUUUCAAGCAAUAUGAUGUACAUUACUUUUGAGCAACAGUAUUUUGACUAGGAUCUUCUCUAUUUGUCAACCCAGAACUGAUUAAUAUGUAAUGCUAACUGCUAACUAAAAUGUAAAAUUAAGUAAAGAAAACAUUUUUAAAAUCACAAUUAGCAGAGCAGUUCGUGUUUAAGGGCAUCACUUUUAUUAGUAUUGGCAAUAUUAUUUGUGUAAAUGAAGCAUUUGAAUGUCCUAUCUUUUAAAAGUAUUUUAUUGUAUACUGUAUCAUAGAAGUUGGAGAUACAUAGAUUGUUUUUGCUAAAGUGGAAAAUUCCCAAGUUCUCUAACAUAACUUUUUAAAUUUAGUUUUUCAUAUUAAAUAGUUAUGAGUUAUUGCUGUGUUACAUUGUGAUGUUUAUGUGUUUCAAUGUUUUUUGUCUUUAGCAGCAUAAUUUAUAUUACUUUUUCAAAUGAUGUAGCUGCAAUAAUUGUAUCCAUCAUGACUUUGGUAAUUUUUAACACAAUUUUAAUAGAUCCAGUGACAGUCUGUAGUGAUUAUUGCAUUGAUAAUGUUUUAAAUGUCCAGGUUCUAUAUUUUUUCUUAAAUAGCAAGAAAACACAGAGAUGGUAUAAUCAACUGUAUAUGGCUACCAAUAAAGAAUCUCUUUCAGAUCUCUCCUGACUGGCAUUCUGUAACAGAGGAGACUGCCUGGUAUUUACAGUAUUUAAUGUCCUCAUAGAUUGGAAAUCUCCUAAGUUGGCUAGAAAUUGUAUUUUUAUGAAAACUAAUUUGUAUUCAUUCUUGUGUAUUUAUUGCAGUAUAUAAGUAAUGGCAGCCCUAUUUGUUUUAUACAUAUAUUAUUUAUAACAGAAACUAAGUAUUACACUAAUAUUCAUAUCUUGAACUGGAUGUGUGUGACAGUGUUUGUUGGUAACAACUCCAAUAAGUAACUUGAAAACAGAGCAUUUCAUUAUAAAAGAUAGUGAAAGAGGGGGAAAUCGAUCCUUGGAUGAAAACAGCUACCCUUGAAAAGUGAUUUUAAAAACAUAGCAAAAUAUUUCUGUAGGAACCUAACACUUAGAUAGCAUAUGUUAACUAUUAAUGCAUAUUUUUUCUAUUCACUUCUUCACUUUUUUGUUUUUGUUUUGUUUUGCUUUGAUUCCAUGCUUAAAUGGAGUUGCAGCUAAGUGAACAACAACUCUGCUUACUGAAGAAGUUCAUUGUGUUCUAAGUGGAAGGACAGUUGUUUGAGGGGAUGUGAAUUUCUACUAUUUAUACUUUGGUUACAUUGUUGCCUAACAUGGCUCUGGAUAACAUUUUUGUUUAAAAAUGUACUUUAAAGCCACCAUAGAAAGUAUUUUCUGGUUUCCUAUCCACAUGAACUUUAUUAUACACACAUACAUAUAUGUAAUACUCCUUUUUCAGGGAAAAAA